rnacentral:rRNA from 1 species
CCUANGGGGGGCAGCAGUGAGGAAUUUUGCGCAAUGGGCGAAAGCCUGACGCAGCGACGCCGCGUGGAGGAAGACGGCCUUCGGGUUGUAAACUCCUGUCAGAAGUGAAGAAUGCCCGCAAGGGCUUGACGGUAACUUCAGAGGAAGCCCCGGCUAACUACGUGCCAGCAGCCGCGGUAAUACGUAGGGGGCAAGCGUUGCUCGGAAUUACUGGGCGUAAAGGGAGUGCAGGCGGCCGGUUAAGUCAAAGAUGAAAUCCCGAAGCUUAACUUCGGAAUGGUCUUUGAUACUGAUCGGCUUGAGGCUGGUUGAGGCGAGCAGAAUUCCCGGUGGAGCGGUGAAAUGCGUAGAUAUCGGGAGGAAUACCAGAGGCGAAGGCGGCUCGCUAAGCUAGUCCUGACGCUGAGACUCGAAAGCUAGGGGAGCAAACGGGAUUAGAUACCCUGNUANUC